GAUCGCUAUAUCAUCACAAUCUGGUAGUUACCCUUCCAACUAUUGUUCAUUGUGAGAAUUUUCUCAUGAAAACACUCUUGAUAUACUUAAAAAAUACUUAUACAUAAAUCAUCAGACAGAGUGGCUUUAUUGUUAUUUUAAUACAAGAAUUAUCUAGCAUUAACCUUUUAAUCUUUUUAAUUCUUGAUGAGAUUGAUGAACAUAAAGUUUAUUAUCUUCAGCAUGCUACUGAUUUAUUGUAAUCUGAGCUUCUUUUUUU
rnacentral:misc_RNA from 1 species